CCAAAACGAUAGAAGGAUGGUCGCUCAAGCACUGUCGUUGCCCACGACGCCGCGGGGCCCAUCCAACUAUUGCACCCUUUGUCUUUGCGUACUGUAUGUUUCCUCGGUGGGCUCGCCCGCCGAUAGGACAUUUAUAAACUCUUUGUAAUUGCAAUCAGCGUCAGAAACAACUAUAAUAGUUA
rnacentral:misc_RNA from 1 species